ACGUACAUCACCUGGGAAUUAUGUUCAACAGCAGACCCUGAUUCAGCAAGCCUGAGAUAGAUCUGAGGGUCUGAAUUUUUUAACAAAAUCUCCAGUGAUGCUGAA
rnacentral:pre_miRNA from 1 species